rnacentral:misc_RNA from 1 species
CAACCCUCAAGCACGGCUUGGUGUUGGCGGAUUGCGUGCCCUAGCGGGCGCUGCACCCGCCCAAAUACAGUGGCGGUCCCGCUGCGGCUCCCUUUGCGUAGUAACUCACCUCGCACUGGACCGGGCGGCGGCUCGCCGUAAAACCCCAACUCACGAAA